rnacentral:sRNA from 1 species
UCAGCCAAUUGAGAGAAUGUUCUAUUU